rnacentral:rRNA from 1 species
UACAGAGGGUGCAAGCGUUAAUCGGAAUUACUGGGCGUAAAGCGCGCGUAGGCGGUUAGAUAAGUCAAAUGUGAAAGCCCCGGGCUCAACCUGGGAACUGCAUCUGAUACUGUUUAACUAGAGUUUAGGAGAGGGAAGUAGAAUUUCAGGUGUAGCGGUGAAAUGCAUAGAGAUCUGAAGGAAUACCAGUGGCGAAGGCG